UUAAUGCUGUUUUCUUAUUUGCAGGAUCGGAUUUUCUCGUUCGAAUGUAAAAAUUUCUCUAAAUCGAAAUCUCGUUGUACAAUUUAGAUCAAAGCUUAAGGAUUUGAUAGCGCCGAAGUAAAAUUGAACCUUCUCGAUUAUUAUUUCUUCCAAUUGUCAAGGACAAUUCUGAAAACUGUCGACAUUUUUUCAAACCGUCAAUUAAAAGUGAUCGCUAGUUUAAUGACAGAACGAUCUGCCAACGAUCUCGACAAGCACUCGACAAAGAAUGCUUGCUAGCACGCAUAAAUUCAAACAAUCAAAUGUACUUGUAGAAAAUACUUCGAAAAAAAGGUGAGAAAAAAACUGCCCCAAUUACGAGACGCGAAUUUGGAUAAUGCCGGAAGGCGGAUGAAAUGAAAUAUUCGAAAGGAGAGA